AAAAAAACGACUCACUCUGGGUAGCUCAGGACUCUUUGGCCUCCAUGAACUGACAACUAGGGGAGGGCCUAGUCCAGCUCUCGUUAUCUCUACGGGAGGGGAAGGGCAAAAUAUUUUGCUUGUACAGCGGCCUGCACGAGUUGUCCAGCCAUAUUGGAUUAAUAUUUCAGUAUUUUAUUCUUUACGACGGCUUUAUACAUCUUUGGUAAGAGGUGUAUGUACCUAAAUAGCAUGAUGCCUACAAUAUUUAAGCAAGAUGGACAAAGAGGUCUUUGAAGGCUAGGGGUUUCUUUGUGAUUCUGUGAAACAUUCGAUCGAUCAGUCAGGAUGUCAACGAGAACACAACUUAUAGAAAGCUUGCAGGAAAUCUUCUUUCAUUGAUGGAAAAACUGAAGUAAUACAGAACAAAUUGAUUUUCACUAGUUGGAAUCCAAGCAAACUAUACGUAUGUAUACGUACAUGUCAGUUUAUCUACAUUGUGUAACACUGGGUUUUAGAGUUAUUUUCGAUAGAGGCACAGGAAGCCCAAGCCAUAACUUUGAAUAGACUUAAUGAUUAUAUGUAGGUCUGUCUACUCAAGUCAUUGCACUUUAUUUAGUUUUUUUUAAUGAAAAAUUCAAGCUAUAAUUAUUAUAUGUUCAUAUGCAUGUGGAGAUUUGUAGGAUCUUUUCCUGGUCCAUCCAAAAAGGAAAGAAUCUGUGAACAAAGAUGACAAAUUGGGUAAGGGGGCCUGGAAUUUUUAAAAUGACUUAACAUAGUGUAAUUAGAUAAUUGAUUGCAAUUGACAUUCAUUUCGUGAGAAUAUGCACAAGUGUGGUUAAAUAAACUCCACUUGUUCCCUUUAAACACCCACUAUACAUGUACAUUACAACUUAACUGUAGCAAGUGAUAAACUUUGUAAUUUUAUUGAUCAAUCUGGUACUUUAAAAAUACUGUGAAUAAACUGAAUUGAAUUUAACUGAAAUCAA